rnacentral:rRNA from 1 species
AUUGAACGCUGGCGGCAGGCCUAACACAUGCAAGUCGAACGAGUGGCGGACGGGUGAGUAAUGUCUGGGAAACUGCCUGAUGGAGGGGGAUAACUACUGGAAACGGUAGAUAAUACCGCAUACCAUCAGAUGUGCCCAGAGGGGAUUAGCUAGCGGGUGGGGUAACGGCUCACCAAGGCGAAUAUCCCUAGCUGGUCUGAGAGGAUGACCAGCCACACUGGAACGUGGACACGGUCCAGACUCCUACGGGAGGCAGCAGUGGGGAAUAUUGCACAAUGGGCGCAAGUCUGAGGCAGCCAUGCCGCGUGAAUGAAGAAGGCCUUCGGGUUGUAAAGUACUGUCAGCGGGGAGGCGUUACCCGAAGAAGAAGCACCGGCUAACUCCGUGCCAGCAGCCGCGGUAAUUC